GCUUCCUACCCACUAGCACAGGGAACAGCCUGGGAGAGAACUGGGAGAAGGGGGCCUUGGGCCAGUCCCAGUUUUGAGGAACCAGUCCAGACAACUGUGUGCUCCUGGUAUUACUCAUCUCUGCAGCCCAGUGUCUGGAAGAAGCUGACACCAAGUAGACAUCAAUGCACUUGUAAAACAAGUAAAGGAUCUUGGACCUGAAAUUUUUCACUCUUAGUAGUACUCCAGAGCCUUCCAGCAAAUGUUUUCUUAACA